rnacentral:rRNA from 1 species
CUACGGGAUGCUCCAGUAAGGAAUAUUGGUCAAUGGACGCAAGUCUGAACCAGCCAUGCCGCGUGCAGGAAGACGGUCCUCUGGAUUGUAAACUGCUUUUGUUAGGGAAGAAACCCCUGGAUGCGUCCGGGGCUGACGGUACCUAAAGAAUAAGGAUCGGCUAACUCCGUGCCAGCAGCCGCGGUAAUACGGAGGAUCCAAGCGUUAUCCGGAUUUAUUGGGUUUAAAGGGUGCGUAGGCGGCGUUGUAAGUCAGUGGUGAAAGUUUGCAGCUUAACUGUAAAAUUGCCAUUGAUACUGCAGUGCUUGAGUAUAGAUGAGGUGGGCGGAAUGUGUCAUGUAGCGGUGAAAUGCAUAGAUAUGACACAGAACACCGAUUGCGAAGGCAGCUCACUAAACUAUAACUGACGCUGAGGCACGAAAGCGUGGGGAUCAAACAGGAUUAGAUACCCGAGUAGUC